UACAGAGGUGGCAAGCGUUGUUCGGAUUUACUGGGCGUAAAGGGUGCGUAGGCGGUCUUGUGUGUCGGAUGUGAAAUCCCACGGAUCAUCCGUGGAACUGCAUUCGAAACUGCAGGGCUGGAGUGCAGGAGAGGAAGGCGGAAUUCUCGGUGUAGCGGUGAAAUGCGUUGAUAUCGAGAGGAACGCCGGUGACGAAGGCGGCCUUCUGGACUGCAACUGACGCUGAGAAGCGAAAGCGUGGGGAGCAAACAGG
rnacentral:rRNA from 1 species